CUGAGUACGGCGGAACACGUGAAAUUCCGUCGGAAUCCGGGAGGACCAUCUCCCAAGGCUAAAUACUCCCUAGUGACCGAUAGUGAACCAGUACCGUGAGGGAAAGGUGAAAAGCACCCCGGAAGGGGAGUGAAACAGUUCCUGAAACCGUGUGCCUACAAGUAGUUAGAGCCCGUUAAUGGGUGAUAGCGUGCCUUUUGUAGAAUGAACCGGCGAGUUACGAUUUGUUGCAAGGUUAAGCGGAAAAAGCGGAGCCGUAGCGAAAGCGAGUCUGAAUAGGGCGCAUAAGUAACAGGUCGUAGACCCGAAACCAGGUGAUCUACCCAUGUCCAGGAUGAAGGUAAGGUAAUACUUACUGGAGGUCCGAACCCACGCACGUUGAAAAGUGCGGGGAUGAGGUGUGGGUAGCGGAGAAAUUCCAAUCGAACUUGGAGAUAGCUGGUUCUCUCCGAAAUAGCUUUAGGGCUAGCCUCGAGGUAAAGAGUCAUGGAGGUAGAGCACUGUUUGGACUAGGGGCCCUUCUCGGGUUACCGAAUUCAGAUAAACUCCGAAUGCCAUGUACUUAUACUCGGGAGUCAGACUGCGAGUGAUAAGAUCCGUAGUCGAAAGGGAAACAGCCCAGACCACCAGUUAAGGUCCCCAAAUAUAUGUUAAGUGGAAAAGGAUGUGGGGUUGCUUAGACAACCAGGAUGUUGGCUUAGAAGCAGCCACCAUUGAAAGAGUGCGUAAUAGCUCACUGGUCGAGUGACCCCGCGCCGAAAAUGUACCGGGGCUAAACAUAUUACCGAAACUGUGGAUGAACCUCUUUAGAGGUUCGUGGUAGGAGAGCGUUCUAAGGGCGGUGAAGUCAGACCGGAAGGACUGGUGGAGCGCUUAGAAGUGAGAAUGCCGGUAUGAGUAGCGAAAGAAGGGUGAGAAUCCCUUCCACCGAAUAUCUAAGGUUUCCUGAGGAAGGCUCGUCCGCUCAGGGUUAGUCGGGACCUAAGCCGAGGCCGAUAGGCGUAGGCGAUGGACAACAGGUAGAGAUUCCUGUACCAGUGCUAAUUGUUUAACCGAUGGGGUGACACAGAAGGAUAGGGAAUCGCACGAAUGGAAAUGUGCGUCCAAGCAGUGAGUGUGAGAAGUAGGCAAAUCCGCUUCUCGCGAAGCAUGAGCUGUGAUGGGGAAGGAAAUUAAGUACGGAAGUUCCUGAUUUCACGCUGUCAAGAAAAGCCUCUAGGAAGAGUAGUACUGCCCGUACCGCAAACCGACACAGGUAGAUGAGGAGAGAAUCCUAAGGUGAGCGAGAGAACUCUCGUUAAGGAACUCGGCAAAAUGACCCCGUAACUUCGGGAGAAGGGGUGCUCUAUUAGGGUGCAAGCCCGAGAGAGCCGCAGUGAAUAGGCCCAGGCGACUGUUUAGCAAAAACACAGGUCUCUGCAAAACCGUAAGGUGACGUAUAGGGGCUGACGCCUGCCCGGUGCUGGAAGGUUAAGAGGAGUGCUUAGCUUCGGCGAAGGUACGAAUUGAAGCCCCAGUAAACGGCGGCCGUAACUAUAACGGUCCUAAGGUAGCGAAAUUCCUUGUCGGGUAAGUUCCGACCCGCACGAAAGGCGCAACGAUCUGGGCACUGUCUCAACGAGAGACUCGGUGAAAUUAUAGUACCUGUGAAGAUGCAGGUUACCCGCGACAGGACGGAAAGACCCCGUGGAGCUUUACUGCAACCUGAUAUGGAAUGUUUGUACCGCUUGUACAGGAUAGGUAGGAGCCGAAGAGACGUGUGCGCUAGCAUACGAGGAGGCAAUGGUGGGAUACUACCCUGGCUGUA
rnacentral:rRNA from 1 species